UACAGAGGGUGCGAGCGUUAAUCGGAUUUACUGGGCGUAAAGGGUGUGUAGGUGGUUAGGUAAGUGAGAUGUGAAAUCCCCGGGCUCAACCUGGGAACUGCAUCUUAUACUGCCUAGCUGGAGUAUAUGAGAGGGUAGUGGAAUUUCCGGUGUAGCGGUGAAAUGCGUAGAUAUCGGAAGGAACACCAGUGGCGAAGGCGGCUACCUGGCAUAAUACUGACACUGAGGCACGAGAGCGUGGGGAGCAAACAGG
rnacentral:rRNA from 1 species